rnacentral:lncRNA from 1 species
CUCGUUUCAUUUAUUUUUGCACAUUAGUGUCCAUUCUUUGUUCCUCAAUCCACAUACCCUGAAAUCAAGGAUUCAUAUCAGUUAUUGGCAUAAAAAAAGAAAUUUAAGACACUAAAUCUAUUAAAAUAAUGGGUGUGUUUGGUAUGAAGGAAAAUGUUUUCCAUGGAAAAUGUUUUCCUGGAAAACAAGUUGAUUUUUGACUUAUUUUCUCAUGUUUGGUUAGUGAGUGGAAAACAUUUUCCGGAAAACAAUUUCUAGUGUUUGAUUUAUGAAUGAAAAAUAUUUUUGAGAAAUAUCUUUUAUUUUUACU